GGAAGUAAAACGUAACAAGGUUUCCGUAGGUGAACCUGCGGAAGGAUCAUUAUUGUAUAACCGAGGUGCGAGGGCUGUCGCUGACCCGAAAGGUCGUGCACGCCCGAGUGCCCUCACACACAUCCAUCUCACCCCUAUGUGCACCACCGCGUGGGUCCCCCUUUGGCUUGUUCGGAGGGGGGCUUACGUUUUCACACAAACUUUGUAUGCAGUGUAGAAUGUAUUUUUUGUUUUUGCGAUCACGCAAUCAAUACAACUUUCAACAACGGAUCUCUUGGCUCUC
rnacentral:misc_RNA from 1 species